GACAGGCUCUGAGCUUUCCCUACCUGCUUUGUCCCCUACUCCAGAAGAGGCCAAGCUCAAGGGCCCACCUGAGACUGAGACUGAGGGCACUUGUACAUUCUCGUAGGAUGUGACCCCAAAGGGCUUACUUCCACAGGUGGGAAGAAGCUGGAACAAGACAAGAACCAAUACACAAGCGAGCAAGGCCUGGAGGCCAGGUGAAAUACCAAACCAAGUUUCCAGUAUGUGCUCAAAAAAAGAACCAAUGGAUAUGCUGCCUAAAUGGGACCUUGGAGAGGCUUCAAGAGAGAAGGUCCCCAAAUGCACCUGGAGUGAGCUAAACUGCACAUCCACAAUGGCAUAGACAACUUAAGCAGUCUUGGUCUGUGUCUCUGUCCUCCUUAGCUCUUGUGGGGAUGGUUACACAUCUCCUUAUGACGUUCUGCUUUCCCUUCCGAUGCCUUCUUUUGUGAAUAGGGUGUGAGAGAGGGAUCCUUCUUCCCCACAUGUGUCUUUGCAAUAUUGACAUUCACAUUACCUUUCAAGAUUGGAUAUCAGAAAGGACGCCUGAAACUCGUACUGUGCCUCCACUUGCCCAAAUGUCAGGAGAGCCUGGGGCCUUUUAAGAGCUGAGAAGCCAGUGCUGUUCAUUUCAGCUUUUCCAUAACCAUUAUAUCAUAUGAGCACAGACACCAAAGCCCAUUUCUUGCUCUCUCCUGGCCUCUCCAUUGUUUGUUACAGGGACUCGGUUGUAAAGGUAGAUAACAGGAGGCAGCCCAGCGAUGAGGACAGCAAAUGAGGAAUUUGCUGUGUGGAAAGGGGCUCAUCUGUAUAAAUUUUGGUGAAGUCCAGCCCACAUCAAGAAGUCAAGGAAGGCUUCUGAGACCCUGAAAACCAGGUUGUAUCCAACUUCAUUACUUUAGUCCACUGGCUCUGGGAGGCUCUAAUUUAUAGACAGAGCAUGGUAGGCAGAAUAAUGGCCUCUCCAAAAUGUUCACACUUUAAUCCCCAGAAUCUGUGAAUAUGUUACUUUACUUGACAAAAAUGUAAAUGUGGUUAAGGACUUACUACAUUUAGUAAAAACAUCCAAGAUAUGUUAAAUAAUAAGAAUAAUAACAGGCAUCUCUGUCUAAAUUUUUUUUUUUAAUGUUUAUUUAUUUUUGAGAGAGAGAGACAGAGCAUGAGUAGG